rnacentral:lncRNA from 1 species
GUGACCACAACACAUCCAGUGUCCACACAUCUCCUGACCACAGUGGCACCAGUGAUCACGUCACCCUGUUUAUCGGGGAACCAUACAUCCUCCUCCUCUGGACACUCAGAUGAUCACCACUAUCGAUUCUCCCACAAAAAAAUUACCUUCAGACUUGCAAAUUACUCUGCUCACCUUUUGUGUAACAUAUGAGUAUCUUGUUGAAUUUGGGUUCUUUAUCUUUUGUCUUUUGAUGCGCUGCUUGCCAAUGAUGUUUUAGGCAAUAACGAUAUGCUAUAUUCUCUCUUUACAGGCUUCGUAACUGUAACUUUGUUCCAUUGCGAUAGUGGCAUCUUAUU